rnacentral:lncRNA from 1 species
UUUCUUUCUCUCUCUCUUCCUCUCGACCGUGUUCAAGCACAAACACACAUUUCACUCACUCUCCUCUCAAGAAAACUCUCCCAUACCUCCUCCAUAUUUUCGAGAUUCAAGGACUUUGCAAGGAGGAUUCUUCACAAAAAUCAUCAUCUAGGUAAGUUGAUGCUUGAAUCCACACUCUAGACUCCUUGUUCUAUACAAAAAUCUCUUCUUAACUCAUAUGAAAUCAUGAUCUUGCAUCUUAGAACCACCUCAAAUUCGAGAUCUUCAUCAAGGUGUUGCUAGGGCCGAAAAUCACCUCACUUUCUUCCUUUUCUUCUUCAAAUCAAAACCACAACUCAAGGUGAGCUUCAUACCCCCUAUUUUUCGGUUUUUAUAAGUUUUGUGGGGGGAGAAUACAAGCAAAUGUGUAGAUCUAUGAGUAUAUGUAUGCUUUGUGUGAUUUCUAUGCUUAUAUAUAUGUUCUUAUGUGAUUGUGGUGUUGGUUCUAGUCAAAAAGAGCUUAAAAACCGAGAUCUACAAUGUGUUGAAUGAAAUAAGUAUAACUUAUGUUAUUUCACACAAAUCAAUUCUAGAAAAAUAACCAAGUUGGUUAAUAUGAACACCUAUGGGCUUAAAACACAUUUUUGGGCUCAAAAUGCUAAAAAUAUAAAACUAAUGGGCCCAAAACGACAAAAUACAAAUUCUGGAGUCAAAACAGUUUCAAAAAUGUAUUUUCUGAAAAUUUACUCUUUUGAAGGAUUAAAAUGUGAAUUUUUAAACAUAAUGGGCCAAAAAUGAACUUUUCGGCCCAAUAAAGCCCAAAUUGCGAGAUUUUUACUUUAGAGGGGCUGAAACUGCACUUUUCUGUAAAACAGGGGACUACUAGUGUACCAAGUCCAUUUCAAGGGUUAAAAAUACUUUUCAAAUUUAAAAGGGACCAAAGAUGCAAAAAUUUUCCAUUUUGGGUCAAAAUUGUAAAAAUCGCGAAAAUAGAGGUUUCAACCGAGAAAACAUUAUUUUGAGGGACUAAGACUGUUUUUCAAGUAAAUUUGAGCUGAAAAAUACCUUUUCAACAAGUUUUGAUACUAAAGUGUCAAGAAAAAAGGUUUAAGGACUAAAAUGGAAAUUCUUUUAUAUAAAGGGUUAAAAGUGUAAAUUUAUCCAAAAAGGGGCUUCAAAAAGAAAAAUUCUAAUGUUUAAACAAUAAAUCCUUUAUGACAAAAUACUAGUACCACGACUACCGACGAAAUAUAAUACACCUUCAACACCAAAAUCGUUACCAAACGAAUUGAUUCGGUCUCGAAUCAAUAACGAAUCAAAAAUCUAAACACGACGAUACUCCAAUACACACGCUGAAAUUACGGGAAGUCAAUACACACGUGGGAAUUCACCAGACGUCGAUACACCAUCUUUGGGCCCGAAAGUUUCAAAUCGUGCUUGUUGGGCCUAGCUAGACCAAUGACAUGAUCUUUAGGCCCGAAGGAAACGCGCUUACAUGAUAUUGGGUCUUAUACGACCUAAUACCGUGUAAAAGGACUUUCAAUAGCUCAUGUGCUGCUGGGCCCCAAGGGUCAUUUGGCACUGCUAGCAAAGUCGAGAAUUCACAAAUGCGAGUCAGGCCAAGGGCCUUUCGCAUUCACGAUAGCCUUUAACGACUCGUGGAAUUAACGGGGGCUUAGCACCCUCUUUUCUUCUUAGGUUGUGGGGCUAUGGGAAGUCAGGAUGGUUGGAUUAGGUGAGUAGUACAGACGACGCCUAUGGGUUCGUUUGUAUAGUCGUAAGCUAGCCAUUUUCAUUAAUGCGUGAUUACAACAACUCACCACCCUUAAUUAAUCCAAUGUCACCUGGAAUUAUCAAAUACACAUGUCACAAUGGUAUAACCAAAUAUAAAACGCGUAUGUUAAAGUAUUAGGAAAACAUCGGGUUUUCCUAGGGAUUUCAACUCUAACACCUACGUGAAGUAUACUAAGUAUAACAAUUUUUCACACUUAUAGAAAUAAACAAGCAUACUUACGGAUCUUCACACUUUUUUUUACUUACAACAAUCUUUUCAGAAAAUAUCGGAUUUUCUGGUGGUUUUUCAAAAUAAUACAAAACACUGUGUUUCAAACAUUACUUAUGAACUCACCAACAUUUUAUAUGUUGACGUUUUUCAAAAUACUUGUAUUCUCAGGUAAUAGGUAAAUCGAAGGGAAAAUGUACUAAGUGAUGUCUUGUUGUUUGCUUAACUAGUAUCGAACAAUUUACUUUUUGGGAAUGUAAUGUUUUGAAACAAUGUACUAACUGUAAAUACUACCAGUUGUAAUAUUUCAAUGCAUGGUGAUGAAUGAUGUUAUGUUUCAUGUAUAUUCACUGUGAUGGUAUUCAAUUGAGUCGCAACAGCCCUCGGAUGUUUCUGCCGUCUGGUUCGGGGGUGUGACAGGUUGGUAUCAGAGCUCUGUUUAUAGUGAACUAGCAUAUCUAGCCACACAUUGAUAUGCAACUAUAAACCAAAAGAGGGACUAACACAACUCUGAAUAAAACAAGUAAAACAUAACAAUAAAACACCCUUGCUUGCAUUAGAAAUAAGAACAUAACGCCGAACAAAACAAGAUAAUGCUAGUAUCCUGGUUAAUUUAGGACUGUUCUUAGCAGUAUCAACGAGUGGAUGUGGCCUGAUCAACUACAUUCCCUCCAAGGUAUAACUAACACAUGUUCUGAUGAGAUCGCAAUAGCUAGGGAACUUAAAAACAAACCCCUUUAUCACCAAAAGAGAAGAAUGUAUGUUUAGUCUAUAACAUAGUGUAGAUUCAUAGGAGUAACGAUAGUUUAUACCUUCCCCUGGUCUUCAUGGAGGGAGAGCAGCCGGGUAUCCAUUUUCAUCAAGUCCUAGUGGCUCACGGGAUGCUUGAAGAUGAACCAGAAAAGAAUCCAGAGGAAGCACACGACGUCGGACCUGAUGAAUACAUAGACAUCGACUACGAGUUCGGGGAGACCGACGAUGACAUCGAGGAAGGACAAGACCCGGACAAAGAUCACGCCACGUCGUUCGUGGACGAGGCGCAACCAGACCACCCCGCCCCACCAAUGAACCCCCCAAGGGAGAACCGCUCUCCCGAAGAUGAGAUCGCCGCCCUGCGGCAACAGCUGUAUGCCAUGGAGGCACGUGCAGUGCGAUCUGAGCACGAGAGGGAUGAGGUUAUUGGAGACAUGACGGAGAUGGCUCAGUUACUGGUUCAACACUUCAGCAUAUGACCCCUCCACUACGUAGGACGCACCACGGAGUGUUAGGGAUAGACUUAUCUUACUAGGUCAUUAGGAACUAUGCUAUGUACCCCGACUCUAUGUUUAAGUGACUACACUACUCAUAGAGCCGUUAUGCUGUCGAACUAGUGUCACUCAUGUAUGCUCUUACAAGCAAAAUUUUCAUGUAUCAAAUGCGGAUAAUAUUAGUAAACUUUUACGUGCUUUGUUAUGAUAUUACAAAUUGCUAUGUGUUGCGAAUCUAUGAUUGUAUGCUACAUGAUAGAAGUACUUAAGUUUGUGCCAUACACCUAGUCGCGGAAAGAUGCCUCGCCGACCUACUCGCGGAAACCCUGGACCAACCCCACCCGAAGUUGACUCAACCGCAUUCCAGGCAGCGGUCUCUGCUGCGGUCACUGCAGCGAUGGCACAAAUUCAUCAAGGGAACAAUGGAGGAGUCAACGGGCAAGGGGCCGGGAGUUCGAACAACGGAAUGAAUCAAGGACCCACCAAAACAUGUACCUACAAGGACUUCACAAACGCUAAACCACGAACCUUUAACGGCACUGGAGGGGUGAUCACUCUGAAACGAUGGAUCGAGAAGGUGGAAUCGGUAUUUGAGAUAUGCGACUGUCCGGAGGAAAUGAAGGUGAAGUUUGCAACAUGCACUUUCGUUGAUCAAGCACUCACUUGGUGGAACGGACACGUGGAAGCCAUGACACUCCCUGUAGCCAACUCCAUGCCGUGGUCGGAAAUGAAAAAAAUGUUGAUGGCUGAAUAUUGCCCACGAGGUGAGAUUCAGAAAAAGGAGCAAGAGCUGUGGAACCUCACUGUGCAGAAUGCGGAUAUCGAUGCCUACAUAUCGAGAUUUAGUGAACUAUCUCUGUUAUGCCCGGGUAUGAGCACCACGAAAGGAAAGAAGAUCGAGCGAUUCAUUUGGGGACUAACCUCUCCGAUCCAAGGAAAUGUGAUAGCUGCAAAUCCCGAAACUUUCAACAGUGCUAAAAGAUUGGCAAAGAAGCUGUAUGACCACAACAAUAAGAAGGGGGAGAAGCCAAUGGAGACUGAGGCCAAGAAGGAAAGUGAUGGCAAGAAAGGGAAAAACAACAAACGGAAGGGGCGUUAAGGCUCCGAGACUUCUAAGAAGCAGCAAACAGUGGCGGUUAAUGCUGCCACCGUGCAAGUCCCAGCUACACCACAUGCUCCAGCCUCAGCUGCUCCAAAUGCUCCUAGGCCUUAUUCCGGUAAUCUUUCCAAGUGCAACAAGUGCAGCUUCCAUCAUAAUGGAGAAUGCAAGGAGUUGCAGUGCACCAGUUGCAAUCGGAAGGGACACACGGUGACGUACGGCAGGACUUACCCUCCUCAAAAUCAACAACAGGGAAGCAACAACAACAACAACCGCAAAAACAAAAACAUCAAUGUUGGGGGCAACAAUGCCGGUCCUAGCCACACAUGCUAUGGGUGCGGAAGGACAGGGCAUUUUUGUCGUGAUUGCCCUAACAACAACAAUCUCGGAAAUGGAGGAACGAGAAGGGUGUUGGCCAUGGGUCAGGGGGAAGCAAUUCAGGAUCCCGCAGUUGUUACCGGUACGUUUCCCCUAAACCACACUUAUGCAUGCAUCCUAUUUGACACCGGAGCGGAGCGAAGCUUUGUGAGCAAUAAGUAUAAACACUAUCUAGAACAACGACCCCAGAAGCUCAAUGAAACCUUUACGGUGGAAAUGGCCAAUGGGAAAACAGAAUCCACGGGGGAAAUCUACAUCGGAUGUACCCUAACCCUGAACCAACACGUCUUUCGAAUAGACUUAAUGCCUGUGUCCAUUAGGAGUUUCAAUGUGAUUAUUGGCAUGGACUGGUUAAGCCUCUACCAUGCUGAAAUUAUGUGUCACGAGAAGGCCAUUCGUCUUCGCCUUCCCAAUCACGAAACCCUAGUUAUUUACGGAGACAAACCUAGCACGAACCUUCGCCUCAUCUCGUGCAUCCAGGCACAAAAGCAUCUACGAAAGAAAGAUUUGACAUUUCUGGCUCACAUAGUGGAUAAAACCAAGGAAGAGACUAACCUUCAAGAUAUUCCAGUAGCACGUGAAUUUCCAGACGUAUUUCCUGAAGAUCUUCCGAGAGUACCCCCAGAGAGGCAAGUUGAAUUCCGAAUUGACCUCGUUCUAGGAGCAACCCCUCUCGCUAAAUCGCCCUAUCGGUUAGCUCCUGCUGAAAUGCAGGAAUUGUCCAGUCAACUCAGCGAACUCCUGGACAAGGGAUUCAUCCGACCUAGUUACUCGCCAUGGGGAGCUCCGGUCCUGUUUUUCAAAAAGAAGGACGGAUCUUUUAGGAUGUGCAUCGAUUACAAAGAGUCAAAUAAACUCACUGUCCGGGAAAAGGAUAUUCCUAAAACCGCUUUCUGAACUUGUUACGGACAUUAUGAAUUUGUCGUGGUGCCCUUUGGUCUAACAAAUGCCCCUGCCGCAUUUAUGGAUCUGAUGAACCGAAUCUGUCGACCAUUCCUCGACAACUUUGUCAUCGUUUUCAUUGAUGACAUUCUCGUCUAUUCCCGAGGCAAGGAAGAGCAUGGCCAACAUCUCCGACAAAUCCUAGAAACUCUGCGAUCAGAAAAGCUAUAUGCAAAACUCUCCAAGUGUGAGUUCUGGCUUCGUAGUGUGAACUUCCUAGGUCAUGUUGUUAGUCAAGAAGGAAUUCAUGUGGAUCCUUCCAAAGUCAAAGUCGUCGAAGGAUGGGCCGUCCCGACAACACCCACGGAAAUUCAUCAAUUCUUAGGUCUAUCCGGCUACUAUAGGAGGUUCAUUCAAAACUUCUCUAAGAUCGCCAAGCCACUUACGUCACAUACGCAAAAGGGUGUACCAUUCAAAUGGACGGAUAAAUAGGAGGUUGCAUUCCGAACCCUGAAGCAAGCCCUCUGUAGUGCUCCGGUACUAUCUCUACCGGAGGGAACGGAAGAUUUCGUGGUCUACUGUGACGCGUCGAAUCAGGGCUUAGGUUGCGUUCUUAUGCAGCGUGGAAGAGUGAUAGCUUACGCAUCCCGUCAACUAAAGACACACGAAGUGAAUUAUACAGCCCACGAUCUGGAAUUGGGAGUCGUGGUCUUUGCUCUGAAGAUUUGGAGACAUUACCUAUACGGUACAAAGUGCACCAUCUUCACAGACCACAAAAGUCUCCAGCGUAUCUUGAAUAAAAAAGAGCUGAAUAUGAGGCAAUGAAGAUGGGUCGAAUUAUUAAACGAUUACGAGUGUGAAAUCAAGUACCACCCGGACAAGGCCAACGUGGUAGCUGACGCAUUGAGCCGGAAGGAGUACUCUAAUCGUCGUGCGAAAACACUCUCAGUAACCAUCCAAUCCCACCUAACCACUCAGAUUGGGGUAGCCCAGUCAAAGGCCAUGAAGUCGGAAAAUAAAGCAAGCGAAGCAUUACGCGGAAUGGAGAAGAAUCUAGAGGUAAAAGAGAACGGAGUAUACUAUUUCAUGAACCGUAUUUGGGUCCCUAAACUCGGAGGAUUUAGGGAGGUAGUCAUGAAGGAAGCUCACAAGACGCGAUACUCCAUCCAUCCCGGCUCGGACAAGAUGUAUUUGGAUAUUAAAAAACACUAUUGGUGGCCUAACAUGAUGGUGGAAAUUGCCACCUACAUUGGUAAGUGUCUUACUUGUGCCAAGGUAAAGGUGGAAUACCAGAAGCCCUCAGGAUUAUUACAGCAACCAGUGAUCCCUGAGUGGAAAUGGGAAGGGAUUUCUAUGGAUUUUGUGACCAAGCUACCCAAGACGCCGGAUGGACUAGACACCAUAUGGGUAAUAGUCGACCGACUAACGAAAUCUGCUCAUUUCCUGCCAAUAAAAGAAUCCUACAAGAUAGAGAGACUGACGCGUUUAUACAUACGAGAAAUCAUGAGACUUCAUGGAAUACCAAUGUCUAUUAUCUCAAAUAGAGACAGUAGAUUCACUUCACGUUUUUGGCAAUCACUCCAGAAAGCACUCGGAACCCACCUCGACAUGAGCACCGCUUAUCACCCACAAAUGGAGGGUCAAAGUGAAUGAACCAUUCAAAUGCUCGAAGACAAGCUUCGCACAUGUGUGAUAGACUUUGGGAAGUCUUGGGAUACCCACUUACCUUUAGUCGAAUUCUCGUAUAACAACAGUUACCAUUCGAGCAUCAAGGUCACUCCUUUCGAAGCACUAUACGAACGUAAGUGUAGAUCACCGUUAUGUUGGGCUGAGGUGGGCGACACCCAGCUAGCAAAAGCACUCACGUCGGACAAGGCACUGACGGGACCGGAGAUCAUUCGUGAAACCACGGAAAAGAUUGUUCAAAUCAGAGCUCGAUUACAAGCAUCGCGCGACCGACAAAAGAGCUACGCCGAUAAACGGCGAAAGCCCUUAGAAUUUCAGGUCAGGGAUCGAGUACUGUUAAAAGUCUCACCUUAGAAAGGAGUCAUUCGUUUCGGGAAACGGGGAAAACUAAACCCACGAUACAUUAAACCUUUCGAGGUCAUCGCCCGAAUAGGUCCAGUGGCGUAUAAACUGCAACUACCCGCGGAGCUAAGCAGUGUACACCCCGUGUUCCAUGUCUCUAAUCUAAAGAAGUGUCUAUCGGAUGAAACACUCGUCAUUCCCCUUGACGAGAUUGAAAUUAACGAGAAUCUCCUGUUCGUUGAAGAACCGGUCGAAAUUAUGGACAGGGAGGUGAAGUGUACGAAGCAAAGUCGCAUCCCGAUCGUGAAAGUACGGUGGAACGCGAAGCGUGGGCCAGAAUUCACGUGGGAACGCGAAGAUCAAAUGAAGCAUAAGUACCCUCACCUAUUCUAGCGUUCUCAAAUCUAGCUUUCAAAAGAAUUUUGGGACGAAAUUCCCUCUAACGGGGGGAUGAUGUCACAAUCAGGAAUUUUUGUGCCUUGUAACUACAAUACUUAAGUCAAACUAUGAAUCCAAAAGCAUAAGAGCAUGUAUGAUGCUUAUUCUAUGACAUCAAAAUUUCAAUCAGAUACACCAUACAGGCAUUACAAAUGGUCAACAAGCAAUUGGAAACCCUAGAAGUUAUCGGUUAGGUCCAUUUUGGACUAGGACUUCCUUAUUGGGCCCAAUGGAAGAAUAAGCUUCCAAUUUGACCAUCUUGGGCUUAGAACUCAUAAAUGGGCUCUAAUUGGACCCACUCCCAUUUAUUUCAACAUUUUGGGCCAUAUUGGGCCUAGAAUGAAAUAAAUUAAUUAUAUGAACCAUUUUGGGCCAUAUUUAACCUAAUGUAGCCCUAAUAGGUCAUAAGAAUCAUAUUUAUGGUUAUUUGGACCAAACACCACUUAACAUAAUCAUGAAUAAGGCUUAAGCUUACAAGGCCCAAAUUCCUUUCUCUUCCUCUAAAAUUAUCGGCCCAAGCCCAUGUAAAAAGGGAGAGUUGACUUUCAUGGCCACCUCAUUUUUACAUCAUGGUUUUCCAUGCAUCUUAUCUCAUAUAUAAAUGCAUAUAUCACUUCAAGAUCUGUUUCUUUCUCUCUCUCUCUUCAUCUCGGCCGUGUUCAAGCACACACACACACAUUUCACUCACUCUCCUCUCAAGAAAACUCUCUCAUACCUCCUCCAUAUUUUCGAGAUUCAAGGACCUUGCAAGGAGAAUUCUUCACAAAAAUCAUCAUCUAGGUAAGUUGAUGCUUGAAUCCACACUCUAGACUUCUUGUUCUAUACAAAAAUCUCUUCUUAACUCAUAUGACAUCAUGAUCUUGCAUCUUAGAACCACCUCAAAUUCGAGAUCUUCAUCAAGGUGUUGCUAGGGCCGAAAAUCACCGUACUUUCUUCCUUUUCUUCUUAAAAUCAAAACCACAACUCAAGGUGAGCUUCAUACCCCCUAUUUUUCAGUUUUUAUAAGUUUUGUGGGGGGAGAAUACAAGCAAACGUGUAGAUCUAUGAGUAUAUGUAUGCUUGUGUGAUUUCUAUGCUUAUAUAUAUAUAUGUUCUUAUGUGAUUGUGGUGUUGGUUCUAGUCAAAAAGAGCUUAAAAACCGAGAUCUACAAUGUGUUGAAUGAAAUAAGUAUAACUCCUGUUAUUUCACAAAAAUCAAUUCUAGAAAAAUAACCACGUUGGUUAAUAUGAACACCUAUGGGCUUAAAACACAUUUUUGGGCUCAAAAUGCUAAAAAUAUAAAACUAAAGGGCCCAAAACGACAAAAUACAAAUUUUGAAGGUUGAGAUGAGUCAAAACACUUUCAAAAAUGUAUUUUCUGAAAAUUUACUCUUUUGAAGGAUUAAAAUGUG